AUGCUGAGGUCUGUCCAAAGCUGGUCCGAUCAAGCUGAUUCCACACUCCAAGACUGCUUCCAUCACGUGGACUGGGAUAUGUUUCGUAUUGCGUCAGAUAACAACAUUGACGAAUACGCUGAUUCGGUGUGCGAGUUCAUUAGAACGUGGGAUAAAGAUGUCGUUCCCAUAGCAACGAUUAAAACGUUCCCUAACCAGAAACCGUGGAUUGAUGGCAGACUAAAUAACUUUUUUGCCCGCUUUGAGGACAAUACAGUGCCACUGACACGGCCUGCAACGAAAACAUGCGGACUCUCCUUCACUGCAGCCGAGGUGAGUAAAACAUUUAAACGUGUUAACCCUCGCAAGGCUGCAGGCCCAGACGGCAUCCCCAGCCGCGCCCUCAGAGCAUGCGCAGACCAGCUGGCCGGUGUGUUUACGGACAUAUUCAAUCAAUCCCUAUACCUGUCUGCUGUUCCCACAUGCUUCAAGAGGGCCACCAUUGUUCCUGUUCCCAAGAAAGCUAAGGUAACUGAGCUAAACGACUACCGCCCCGUAGCACUCACUUCCGUCAUCAUGAAGUGCUUUGAGAGACUAGUCAAGGACCAUAUCACCUCCACCCUACCUGACAUCCUAGACCCACUCCAAUUUGCUUACCGCCCAAAUAGGUCCACAGACGAUGCAAUCUCAACCACACUGCACACUGCCCUAACCCAUCUGGACAAGAGGAAUACCUAUGUGAGAAUGCUGUUCAUCGACUACAGCUCGGCAUUCAACACCAUAGUACCCUCCANNNNNNNNNNGCCGCCCCCAGGUGGUGAGGGUAGGCAACAACAUCUCCACCCCGCUGAUCCUCAACACUGGGGCCCCACAAGGGUGCGUUCUGAGCCCUCUCCUGUACUCCCUGUUCACCCACGACUGCGUGGCCACGCACGCCUCCAACUCAAUCAUCAAGUUUGCGGACGACACAACAGUGGUAGGCUUGAUUACCAACAACGACGAGACGGCCUACAGGGAGGAGGUGAGGGCCCUCGGAGUGUGGUGUCAGGAAAAUAA
rnacentral:lncRNA from 13 species